CCUCAGCAAUGGUCCAACGUCUAGGGGAAAGACUUCCUAGAAGAGUGGAGGCUGUUACAGCAGCAACGGGGGAACCAACUCCAUAUUAAUGCCCAUGAUUCUGGAAUGAGAUGUUGGACGAGCAGGUGUCCACAUACUUUAAGGUAAGAUCUGAUCCAUGGCUCAUGAGCCUUUAGGGUAUGAUCUGAUCCAUGGCUCAUGAGCCUUUAGGGUAUGAUCUGAUCCAUGGCUCAUGAGCCUUUAGGGUAUGAUCUGAUCCAUGGCUCAUGAGCCUUUAGGGUAUGAUCUGAUCCAUGGCUCAUGAGCCUUUAGGGUAUGAUCUGAUCCAUGGCUCAUGAGCCUUUAGGGUAAGAUCUGAUCCAUGGCUCAUGAGCCUUUAGGGUAUGAUCUGAUCCAUGGCUCAUGAGCCUUUAGGGUAAGAUCUGAUCCAUGGCUCAUGAGCCUUUAGGGUAUGAUCUGAU